rnacentral:rRNA from 1 species
UACAUAGGGUGCAAGCGUUGUCCGGAAUUAUUGGGCGUAAAGAGCUCGUAGGUGGUUCGUUACGUCGGAUGUGAAAAUCUGGGGCUCAACCCCAGACCUGCAUCCGAUACGGUCGAGCUAGAGUUUGGUAGGGGAGACUGGAAUUCCUGGUGUAGCGGUGGAAUGCGCAGAUAUCAGGAGGAGCACCAAUGGCGAAGGCAGGUCUCUGGGCCAAUACUGACACUGAGGAGCGAAAGUCUGGGGAGCGAACAGG